AGAGGAGUACGAUCAGCCACACUGGGACUGAGAUACGGCCCAGACUCCUACGGGAGGCAGCAGUCGGGAAUUUUGGGCAAUGGGCGAAAGCCUGACCCAGCAACGCCGCGUGAGGGAUGAAGGCCCUCGGGUCGUAAACCUCUGUCGGGAGGGGAGAACGGUCGCGAUUCGAACAGGGUCGCGGCCUGACGGUACCUCCAAAGGAAGCACCGGCUAACUCCGUGCCAGCAGCCGCGGUAA
rnacentral:rRNA from 1 species